rfam:Dipodomys ordii contig_64018, whole genome shotgun sequence.
GGUGGCUCAGUGGUAGGGUGCUUGCCUUGCAUGCAUGAGGCCCUGGGUUCGAUUCCUCAGUACCA